CAGUAGCCACGGUAAUACGCAGGUGGCAAGCGUUGUCCGGAAUUAUUGGGCGUAAAGGGCUCGCAGGCGGUUUCUUAAGUCUGAUGUGAAAGCCCCCGGCUCAACCGGGGAGGGUCAUUGGAAACUGGGAAACUUGAGUGCAGAAGAGGAGAGUGGAAUUCCACGUGUAGCGGUGAAAUGCGUAGAGAUGUGGAGGAACACCAGCGGCGAGGGCGACUCUCUGGUCUGUAACUGACGCUGAGGAGCGAAAGCGUGGGGAGCGAACAGGAUUAGAUACCCCGGUAGUCCCUGUCUCUUAUAC
rnacentral:rRNA from 1 species